UGUUUUUUCGUGGAAGCGUUGACACGUGCUUUUGGUGAUAACAGUCUUUUUUUCCAAAUUUAUUGCUUUUUUUACGUUCUUUCAAGCUAAGAUUUUAUUUUAUUUGUGGUGACGGUGUUUGUGUUUUGUGUUAGUGAUAUCAUCUGCGCUUGAUUUGAAACUGUUGGAUCUAAUUUGAACUUUUUGGACGUGAACAAACCCAUUCACUACAGGACAUUGGCAAAAUUGUGGCAACGCAGUACUGCCAUAAACUAAAAUAUUGAAUUGAAUUG